GGGUGCACACGCUCUGGUACCUGGACGGCGGCACUCCAGCGUUGACCUCCGGGAAGAGCGCCGCGGUGGACGGCGGAGGAAGCGCGAGGUUGAGGUUGUGUUGAUGGCAGUGCGCCGGAUGCAGUUCGCGCUUCUGGAGCUGACAGUGCCUUGCAACCACCAAUUAAGAUUUACACCUGAAGAAGCUUCGAGACAUUGUGUGAUUCUUGCUAACAAAUCUGUACCAGUCAACUGUUGAACAAAUCAAUCCAUUGCACACAAUUUUGCAUCUUGUCUAACUUUGCUUGCUGCCGCGAUUCGUCCUAUUAUUGGCCGAUGGAAAACGGACCUCAUCUUUUGUUUCAUCCACAGUUCCACUGCAGAUACACUCCGGUUUGCUGAACUUAGUCAAGCAUCCUAGCAUAAAGUUUUUUAUAAUAUCAGAAUUCUUCAUAAAAGAGAUUGUUGAUCGGCCCUAAGUUCAUUAUGAGUCUUGCACGUAGAGUAUGAAAGGUUAGUGAGGUGGUUGGCUCCUCAACCGUUUAAAAUGGAUUGAUGUAGACAAAAUAUUUAUUUGUUAGGGUGCAAUUGAAUGCUGAGCGAUGUAAUUCAAUCCUGAGGGAUGCAGGUUCUCAAGUCAUAAAAACAUAUUCACUAAAGUUGUAGUGACUUUUAGAUCUAUUUUUUUUUCUUUAAUGACGUUCGAUUAUGAUUAAA